UUAACACAUGCAAGUCGAGGGGCAGCAUGGUCUUAGCUUGCUAAGGCCGAUGGCGACCGGCGCACGGGUGAGUAACACGUAUCCAACCUGCCGUCUACUCUUGGACAGCCUUCUGAAAGGAAGAUUAAUACAAGAUGGCAUCAUGAGUCCACAUGUUCACAUGAUUAAAGGUAUUCCGGUAGACGAUGGGGAUGCGUUCCAUUAGAUAGUAGGCGGGGUAACGGCCCACCUAGUCUUCGAUGGAUAGGGGUUCUGAGAGGAAGGUCCCCCACAUUGGAACUGAGACACGGUCCAAACUCCUACGGGAGGCAGCAGUGAGGAAUAUUGGUCAAUGGGCGAGAGCCUGAACCAGCCAAGUAGCGUGAAGGAUGACUGCCCUAUGGGUUGUAAACUUCUUUUAUAAAGGAAUAAAGUCGGGUAUGCAUACCCGUUUGCAUGUACUUUAUGAAUAAGGAUCGGCUAACUCCGUGCCAGCAGCCGCGGUAAUACGGAGGAUCCGAGCGUUAUCCGGAUUUAUUGGGUUUAAAGGGAGCGUAGAUGGAUAUUUAAGUCAGUUGUGAAAGUUUGCGGCUCAACCGUAAAAUUGCAGUUGAUACUGGAUAUCUUGAGUGCAGUUGAGGCAGGCGGAAUUCGUGGUGUAGCGGUGAAAUGCUUAGAUAUCACGAAGAACUCCGAUUGCGAAGGCAGCCUGCUAAGCUGCA
rnacentral:rRNA from 1 species